rnacentral:lncRNA from 1 species
AAGCCGCGUCCAGGGCAGGCAGCGCGCGGCGGCGCGGCGGCGCGGGGCGGGCGGCCAGGGCUCCCCUCUCCCGCUGGCGCUCCCGGCGCCUCCGUCCCCGGCCGGCCCAGCGCUGCUACCGGAGGCCAGCCCUGGGGCUCCGCGGGGAAGAGCUGCUCUUCCUCCCGGAGGAAACCGAGCUCGCAAGCCCAGCGCUCCCAGCCGCAGACUGCAGGCUGCCCUCCUCCACCGCCUGGAUUUCCCACGGGGAGGAAAAGGCGUGCGUUUCCAGGUGUUUGGAGGACGCACUGGCCGGGCGCACUUUCCUCAGCGUAAUUUUGAACGCAGUUUCCCUAAAGAUGACUCUUUUUUCCACUAGGAUUAUUUCCAAGUCAUCAAAAGUGAAAAAUCACAUGGAGUCUCACUCUGUCAGACAGGCUGGAGUGCGGUGGGGCGAUCUCGGCUCACUGCAACCUCUACGUCCCGGGUUCAGGCGAUUCUCCUGUCUCUGCCUCCCAAGUAGCUGGGACUACAGGCACGUGCCACCACACCAGGCUAAUUUUUGAAUUUUAGUAGAGAUGGGGUUUCAUCAUAUUGGCCAUGCUGAUCUCGAACUCCUGACCUUGUGAUCCACCCACCUCAGCGUCCCAAAAUGCUGGGAUUACAGCCGUGAGCCACCGCCCGACCACCAGCACCUAAUUCUACUAAUUCUACAGGUUGGUUGUGAGGGCUAAGUGACGUAAUGUGGAGAGAGAGCCUGGGAUGGAGCCUGGCACAGGUGAGUGCUCUUUAAGCCUAAAUUGCCUUCCUUCUAACGGAUUUGCUAAAUUGGCACUGUGCUGAUUUUUUUAAGUGUUUAGUUCAUCCUUGUAAUACCAUAAUUACAGAAUAUAAUGACAUUGCAUUCUCUACAACUACAAAGUAGAAUUUAUAAACUGAUAGAAUAUGAGCUGGAAGAAGCUUUAGGAGCCAUCUGUUCCAAUCUCUUCCAUUUCCAAAUGAGGUCCAAAGAGCUUCGAUGACUUGUUUCCAAGUUUUCACAGAAAGUUAAUUGCAAAGACAGGACUAGAUCUUGCGUCCCUCCCACCCCCACUCCUGCUAUACCCUUCGCUUUUGCUUCACAUUACACAGGCAUGGCAACGCAUGUAAUUUUCUAACAAUUAAGCAGUAUAAAAUAACCUCAAUUUAAUUGCAUCCAAUUAACAAGCCAAAUUAGCGUUUCAUAUGUACACUAUUAAACUAGUUGUCUGCCUUCCAAAAGAAAUAAAACACUGUUUCAAAUAAAUCUAGCGUUUUGGUGAACAAAGCUACUUACAGUUUAAAUCACCUUUCCUAUAAUCUUCUUUAUAUGGAAUUAGACAUUAAUCUCCAUUUUAAAAGAAAUAUUUUCUGCAACUAUCAGGAUGAGAAUUCACGCUGUAUUUAAGUAGCAAAAUUUUCUCUCUCACAGAACACCUAUGGUUUUCUAUGAUUUGUAUAUGUGUGUAUGCACACGUGCAAACCUGUACACAUAUGCACGCUGUCAGAUCCCUAAUCAAAUACAAACGAAGGUGUGUCCACAUUUACCUACUGCCCUAGUUUCAAAAGUCCCACCUUUUCCCUAGGCUUCUGAACUCAAGUGAAUCUGCCACAGUGCAAAUAAUAAGAGCUUCGAUGAUCUGCUUUUUUUCUUCUUGCAGAGAAAAUGAAACCAUUAAAUAAAUCUUUGCCAAACAAAGCACUGCAUUUCAAAUACACUGCACUACACUAUCUGUCCAGUAUUGUAAUGAUUUAGAUACAGCUGGGUAUCAAUUAAAAAGCAGUAUUCCAGUUAACCACGAAAUGAAUCAGUGGCCCAUUCCUUAUACAUGUAUCCCUAAAAAUAUAAUUACCUUGUAAUUUUAACUAUAAACAUGUCUGCAAGUUGGUGUUUGAUGGUCAACUUUCACUACUAAUAUUUAUAAAUAUAUUCCGUAGUAAAAAAAAUUUUAUAUUAGGUUAAAAUAAUAAUGCACUACUUAAAAUGUUCAAAUUGACAACCUGUCAUACACAUUUGGCAAUGUUUAACAAAAUAUUUUAAUCACUUUUGUUACUUACUUUUAGGGUACUUUUAAACACAUCAAUUAACAGAGUAAAAGAAUUCAUAUUAUCAUUCAGUAGGGGCAACUUUCAUUACUUCUCUUUAGGAUAUUUUGGCAAUCUAACUGUCUCCUUGCCACCGAGAUAUUCAUCCCAUAUACCCUCAUAAGCUUUCUGAAACACACACUUUAUAGCAUCACCUCUCUGCUCAAAAACCUUCAGUGAUGUCCAGCUUUCUCUGCAGGUCUUUGAGGCACCACAAGAUCUGGAGCUACGUACCUUUCCAGGCUCCCAACUCUUCCUCUGCCCUGGUACUAUCCCUGUCCCCUCCCAUCCCAGGUCAGAGUAUGAGGAGCUCCUGACUCCCUUCUUUACUCAGUGAAAUUCUACUUAACAUUCAAGAUCCUCAGUAAAAAAAAGAAUCACCUCCUCUCAUAAGAACCCUCUAAUCUUUCCAGUUGGAAAAAAUCCUGCUUCCAUUUAUACUCUACUCCCAAUUGUAAGUUUUAAUAAAGUUUACUAUAAGCCA